UACGUAGGGGGCAAGCGUUGUCCGGAAUCAUUGGGCGUAAAGAGCGUGUAGGCGGCCCGAUAAGUCCGCUGUGAAAGUCCAGGGCUCAACCCUGGGAUGCCGGUGGAUACUGUCGAGCUCGAGUCCGGAAGAGGCGAGUGGAAUUCCUGGUGUAGCGGUGAAAUGCGUAGAUAUCGGGAGGAAUACCGAUGGCGAAGGCAGGUCUCUGGGCUGACACUGACGCUCAUGCACGAAAGCGUGGGGAGCAAACAGG
rnacentral:rRNA from 1 species